rnacentral:rRNA from 1 species
GACGAACGCUGGCGGCGUGCUUAACACAUGCAAGUCGAGCGGUAAGGCCUCUUCGGGGGUACACGAGCGGCGAACGGGUGAGUAACACGUGGGUGACCUGCCCUCAGCUCUGGGAUAAGCCUGGGAAACUGGGUCUAAUACCGGAUAUGACCUUUCCUCGCAUGGGGUUUGGUGGAAAGUUUUUUCGGCUGGGGAUGGGCCCGCGGCCUAUCAGCUUGUUGGUGGGGUAGUGGCUUACCAAGGCUUUGACGGGUAGCCGGCCUGAGAGGGUGACCGGCCACAUUGGGACUGAGAUACGGCCCAGACUCCUACGGGAGGCAGCAGUGGGGAAUAUUGCACAAUGGGCGGAAGCCUGAUGCAGCAACGCCGCGUGCGGGAUGACGGCCUUCGGGUUGUAAACCGCUUUCGCCUGUGACGAAGCGUGAGUGACGGUAAUGGGUAAAGAAGCACCGGCUAACUACGUG